rnacentral:sRNA from 1 species
UCCCUCUGGAAGUUUUGCACUCAGUGUACGGAGACGACCACCCCGUAGAGGAGGACGUUUCCUUGGCCAAGGGUGUAGGGUAUACGAGUAGCUGCGCUCCCCCGCUAGAACCUCCAGACUAGCUCUCAAAGUAAACAGCCACUGGGUUUUUCAUA